CUAGGAUGGGUGACCUCCCG
rnacentral:sRNA from 1 species